rnacentral:rRNA from 1 species
GUGGGGAAUAUUCCGCAAUGGACGAAAGUCUGACGGAGCAACGCCGCGUGAGUGAUGAAGGUUUUCGGACUGUAAAGCUCUGUUGUUUAGGACGAAAGUGCCUGUUGCAAAUAGUUACAGGUAUUGACGGUACUGAACGAGGAAGCCACGGCUAACUACGUGCCAGCAGCCGCGGUAAUACGUAGGUGGCAAGCGUUGUCCGGAAUUAUUGGGCGUAAAGAGCAUGUAGGCGGGAUUCUAAGUCUGGUGUGAAAAUGCGGGGCGCAGCCACGUAUUGCGAUGGAAACUGAGUUUCUUGAGUGCAGGAGAGGAAAGGGGAAUUCCCAGUGUAGCGGUGAAAUGCGUAGAUAUUGGGAGGAACACCAGUGGCGAAGGCGCCUUUCUGGACUGUGUCUGACGCUGAGAUGCGAAAGCCAGGGUAGCGAACGGGAUUAGAAACCCGGGUAGUCC